UACAGAGGGGGCGAGCGUUGUUCGGAAUUACUGGGCGUAAAGGGCGCGUAGGCGGCCUUCUAAGUCGGACGUGAAAUCCCUCGGCUCAACCGAGGAACUGCGUCCGAUACUGGUUGGCUUGAAUUCGGGAGAGGGAUGCGGAAUUCCCGGUGUAGCGGUGAAAUGCGCAGAUAUCAGGAGGAACACCGGUGGCGAAGGCGGAUCUCUGGGCCAUUACUGACGCUGAGGAGCGAAAGCGUGGGGAGCGAACAGG
rnacentral:rRNA from 1 species